rnacentral:rRNA from 1 species
AGUGAACGCUGGCGGUAGGCCUAACACAUGCAAGUCGAACGGCAGCACAGAGGAGCUUGCUCCUUGGGUGGCGAGUGGCGGACGGGUGAGGAAUACAUCGGAAUCUACUCUGUCGUGGGGGAUAACGUAGGGAAACUUACGCUAAUACCGCAUACGACCUACGGGUGAAAGCAGGGGACCUUCGGGCCUGGCGCGAUUGAAUGAGCAGAUGUCGGAUUAGCUAGUUGGCGGGGUAAAGGCCCACCAAGGCGACGAUCCGUAGCUGGUCUGAGAGGAUGAUCAGCCACACUGGAACUGAGACACGGUCCAGACUCCUACGGGAGGCAGCAGUGGGGAAUAUUGGACAAUGGGCGCAAGCCUGAUCCAGCCAUACCGCGUGGGUGAAGAAGGCCUUCGGGUUGUAAAGCCCUUUUGUUGGGAAAGAAAUCCAGCUGGCUAAUACCCGGUUGGGAUGACGGUACCCAAAGAAUAAGCACCGGCUAACUUCGUGCCAGCAGCCGCCGUAA